rnacentral:rRNA from 1 species
AUACAGAGGGUGCACGCGUUAAUCGGAUUUACUGGGCGUAAAGCGCGCGUAGGUGGCUAAUUAAGUCAAAUGUGAAAUCCCCGAGCUUAACUUGGGAAUUGCAUUCGAUACUGGUUAGCUAGAGUAUGGGAGAGGAUGGUAGAAUUCCAGGUGUAGCGGUGAAAUGCGUAGAGAUCUGGAGGAAUACCGAUGGCGAAGGCAGCCAUCUGGCCUAAUACUGACACUGAGGUGCGAAAGCAUGGGGAGCAAACAGGAUUAGAUACCCUGGUAGUCCAUGCCGUAAACGAUGUCUACUAGCCGUUGGGGCCCUUGAGGCUUUAGUGGCGCAGCUAACGCGAUAAUUAGACCGCCUGGGGAGUACGGUCGCAAGACUAAAACUCAAAUGAAUUGACGGGG